CUUUAAAAUCCUUUCAACCUUUAUUUCUGUUUUUAUGCGUGUCGUAUCGGUUAUCAUGUAGUACACAAGAUCUCAAGUACAAGAUCGCUCUAGGGACGGUCACUAAUGUUGAUGAAGUCGUCCGGUGGAAGAUGUCCGGUACCUGUUCGUCCAAUCCACUCACUUACAGGAUCAGUCACGAGGCCCAUCAGGUUGGGGACGAGGAGCUGGAGGAACUGGAGAAGAUGUGUCAUAUCUGUUAGCUGAUAUCUGACCUCUCUUAUGUAGCGCAGGUGAAACACAAACAAAGAAAGUAGAUGUUAUUUUAUUCGUCCCAAAAAUGGUGUACACAUUUCUAAAUGAGUUGAAGCCUGGGAAGGAGACGCCCACUGCUGUGAUUGGCUAACAGUUACUCACACUGUGCUGUUGAAUCCAAUAUAGACAGCACAACAUCGUCCUUUACUUUCACUAUUUCUGAAAAUCCUGCGUUGGAUUGUGCCAUGUUUCUAAACAAAUCCACAAUAAAAUGAAGUGAACAAAGGACAAAGUUCUUACUGACGUGGUCUAGAACGUCAUUAAAAAUAAAGUUCAUCCUCUCCUUGCUAAUGUUGGGAUCAGAAGGAAGGCAAUGCAAAGACUGUUUUAUACUCAACUUGACGUGGCACAGCAUCUUGGUUUCAGAGCAUCUUUAUUGUUUGGUUUCUCUCUUGUGGGUGGGGCUAAACAGGCAGCGAUGUAGAAGCAGGCGUUGAUCUUCAUCUGCGGAGUCAGUGUUUAUCCAGACUUUUACAUCAUAGAGUAGAACACGCCACAAGCUGAUGUUUUGGCAGGCUGGCUUCAAUAUAUAUGUUUAUUAGACCAACAAGAAAGUUUUGAUUGGAUGUUUUUAUAGUACAAUGACUUUUUAUACGUGAA